UGCAGUCGAGCGGAACGACACUAACAAUCCUUCGGGUGCGUUAAUGGGCGUCGAGCGGCGGACGGGUGAGUAAUGCCUAGGAAAUUGCCUUGAUGUGGGGGAUAACCAUUGGAAACGAUGGCUAAUACCGCAUAAUGCCUACGGGCCAAAGAGGGGGACCUUCGGGCCUCUCGCGUCAAGAUAUGCCUAGGUGGGAUUAGCUAGUUGGUGAGGUAAUGGCUCACCAAGGCGACGAUCCCUAGCUGGUCUGAGAGGAUGAUCAGCCACACUGGAACUGACACACGGUCCAGACUCCUACGGGAGGCAGCACUGGGGAAUAUUGCACAAUGGGCGAAAGCCUGAUGCAGGCAUGCGGCGGGUAUGAAGAAGGCCUUCGGGUUGUAAAGUACUUUCAGUUGUGAGGAAGGGGGUAGUGUUAAUAGCGCUAUCUCUUGACGUUGCAACAGAAGAAGCACCGGCUAACUCCGUGCCAGCAGCCGCGGUAAUACGGAGGGUGCGAGCGUUAAUCGGAAUUACUGGGCGUAAAGCGGAGGCGGGUGGUUCAUUAAGUCAUAUGUGAAAGCCCGGGGCUCAACCUCGGAACUGCAUUUGAAACUGGUGAACUAUAGUACUGUAGAGGGGGGUAGAAUUUCACGUGUAGCGGUGAAAUGCGUAGAGAUGUGAAAGAAUACCAGUGGCGAAUGCGGGCCCCUGGACCUAUACUGACACUCAGAUGCUAAAGCGUGGGGGAGCACACAGGAUUAGAUACCCCUGGUAUUCCACGCCGUAAACGAUGUCUACUUGGAGGUUGUGGCCUUGAGCCGUGGCUUUC
rnacentral:rRNA from 1 species